rnacentral:lncRNA from 1 species
UGACCCCUUUCCCCUGGCGCCCCCACUGUGGACAGCGGACGGGCUGAGGGAGAGCCGGCCAGCCACGGGCUCCAUGGGCAGUUGCCCCGCACCACGCCCACGCAGGCCCACUGUGCAGCCCCCAAGUCACCAGAGUUUUCGAGAACCACUUCCAAAAGACACCGUCGUGACCGGAGCCAUUAGCAAAUAUCAGGAUUUUUCAAACCACACUUCAAUACAUCCUUCACUUUAAUUUAUAAAACAAAUUACUGAAUAUAAAAGUCUCCCCUCUGAUGAGCACAGCAUUACUCACAUAUUGUGUACAAGAACGGCCAAACUGGUAACCGGCACGCUACUGGCAACACGGCAGUAUUUAGGUACUUCAACUCCCGCCCCCACCUGUGUCCCGCUGGCUCCUAAGCUGCCCCCCUACGUGUGGGUUGCGUCUGAGAUGUGGGGCAGGCGCCACUCACGGAAAAAAGGCAUCAGAGGAGCUUCCACAUCAUCGGAACAUUUUAUUCCUCAGGACGCUACACGCUCACUUUCCUGGCGGAGCAGGUCAGUGCAUCGAGUUCUGUUUCCGUGGAAAAUGUGCACCUUGGAAACCGCAUGACAGCCCCCUCGGCAGGGUCCCCGCGGAUCCGCCGCGACGCAGGCACAGCAGCAAGUUCCUCCAGCACGAAGCUGGCCUGCCCGGGCCCAGGUGUGAGGGACUGUUCUGCUCCCAGCAGCGCCCGCUGACGCUUCCCUCUGCGGUCUCGGCGCAAGCGUCUGUCCCUGGCCGCCCUCGGAGCCGUGCCCAGCCUGGCAUGCAUAUGCGGUGGUUAAGGAUACAGUUAAAGGGUCAAUCACGCGUGUCCACGACAGAGACGCACGCGGCCUCACACCGACUCCUCGGUGGACAGCAAUAAUGGGUUGAUAUACUCAAAGCCUUCGAACUCUGACUGGUCGAUCCUCUUUAUGGCAUCCCUGUGGGCAAAGGUGGCAGGGGGGAGGGGGGUGACCGUGUGUUCAUUCCCUUGGGGGAAGCGGAGUCACGUUCGCAUAAGAAUCCUCCCCCAACGCCCACUGGAGAGAUGACACCAGGCGGGUGGGACUCAAGGGCAGGCUGGGUCACCAGCUGCCCAAGGUGCCGGCCUGCCAUGGGGCUGCCCGAGGGGUGCUCCAGGGACCCGCACCCAGUGGGACUCACUCAUCGUCUGGGGUCAGCUGCACGGGCUCGCUGGUGAACUGUGUGUCAAAGUUGUCCAGACCGUAGUCGUCUGUGAUCUGUGGCUGGAAUGGAGGGAGCGCCUGCUUCUUCUCCAGCUUGGAAAAACAAUAGGAGAAGGGUCAGCUCCGCGCGGGCAUCAUCCCUACCAGAUUGAGUGUUUUGCACGCACUUCAAUCACAAAAUGAAACAGUGAGAAAGUCAGCAUUUCAAUCUGCCUAGUAUUUGACUGCCAAGUGUUUUUUCUUACAACACAAAAUCUAGAAAAUAUCCAAAGUCAG